CAGAAAAUUCUGAAAGCAAGAUGUAGUUAGAAAUCUUUGGCAUCUAAGCAACAAUUCAGGAAAGAGUAAAAGACAAGCUUCUGUGGAAAGGGCAACAAACACUAUCACCCUCAGACCAGAGGUGAACAUCCUUUGCAGCAAGGUGAAAGAGACACAAAACACCCUCUGCCCUUGAAGGAGAGACAGGAGACGCCUCUGUUGGCUUCUCUGCUGCUUAACAGAAGUCAUGAGAUGCCUGGGUAUAAACUGUUGCCUAAGGAUACAGGGUGUGUGGCUGGUGGCCUCAACAGGCCCCACGGCUCAGGCACUCAGACCCAAGCUGGUCCCUCAGACUAAAUGGUUUUCCUGGGAACUCUGACUCUGGCCACAAGAUGAAGACUGACAAAUUUCCUUUCUCUGUUUAUGGAGGGAGACUUCACAACAUUCACUGAAAGAGGAGCAAAGGACCUGGUUUUUGCCAUGACUGGCUUUGGCCCCGUGAAUGAAUGUUUUUCUGGCAUUGGAAAGCGGAUUGCAAAGAGAGCAGAACCACAAAUGGGCUAUGAGGAAAUGUGUUCAAUGAAGAAAACAAAAUCUCUGACAAGAUCCCACAUAAGACAACAUCUCAGCAUCUUCUGUGAUUUGUGAACCCAAGUAAAGCACUUCUUAGAGUUAUCUGGCACAUUCGCAACUAAUAGCUUUCCAUGAAUAAAUACUGUG
rnacentral:lncRNA from 1 species